CAUAUAUCAGAAUCCAGAAACUUUCAGUAUGGCCCAUGUCAAGUGAAAGCAACAGCUCGAACCAUUAUACAAUAUGUUGUUCCCUAAAUUAACAUGUACAUUUUGGAUCUAGGCCCAAUGUAAAGUACAUGUUGUUAAAUAUGUAUAAUAAAUAAUAAAUCAGAUUUUGUUUAUGUAAACAUUGUAAACUAUGUUUCAUGUAGUAUUCUUACUUGCGCUGUCAAGUACUUACAGAAAUCAAAACACAAACCAUGUUCAACCCUUUGUACGAUAUAGUGAAUAAAGUCACGAUCUAACCGAUAGGUGUCCACAUUAUGCGAUGACAAAACACAGGUAUGUAUUUAUUUACUUACAUCUACCAAAUAUAAGCAGGUCUUCCUUUUACAAUAAGCCACUACAUUUCUAAAGUGAGGUUCGAAUACCCUCAAUUCCUCAAUAACAAUAUUAAACUAUAUUAGUUUAAUAGCUGUAGAAUUCGGCAGAUGUAACAAAGACUCAUACAAAACGGAACUGAAACAUUGUUAAGAUUUUCUUGUUAGUCUGUGUCCCCUUAGAUGGUGAUUGCACAGAUCGGAUCCUUUAGUUGAUUGCACUCUUUGGUAGUAGUUAAUACUAUAAGUAUCAAUAGUAUUGAGUAGAAUAACGGAGACAUGGCAUUCAUGAUCUCACGCAAGCUGCCGAUGCCGCGGCAGACUGACUGAUAACUCGUGCCCACGCCGAGACGACAAAAUAACUUGUAAUAAGUGAAAAAGCUUGAUCGUUCGCUUGUUGUUUUAUUUGAUUUAACACAUUCAGUGCCGAAAACCCGACUAUCGGGUAUUUUAUGAGUUCGUUCCCAGGCCGAACGACCCGAUAGUCGGGAUCGUGGUACUACUGCUUUAUAUGACGAAAUUUUUGUGGCCUGGCGCGGACGCCUUGUUUGGCUGGGUGGCAGUGAAUGUAUUAAGAAUCCGGUAGCUACAAUAUUGUUGAUUGAUUAAUGAAUGAAGGUUUAUAAUUAUAAUAAUCAAGCUUAUCCAUUUUAUAAUAAGAAGAAUAGUGCCCGAUAUUGUAUGGUGUUUCAAUUGUAACGAUAUGAAAAUUGUAGUAAUCAAAAUUGUGUACGUGAGAAACAAGUUUACAACAUAUUGUAAUGUUGUGACGUCAUUAGCAAAGGUUCAUCAAUUAAUUAUAAAGCUUUUCCAUAGUAGGUUGUAUAGAUUUUGGUACGGUUUGAACUAUUAUUUUCGUUGAGUUGAAUUUAGACAAGUGUUUGCCAUUUUGGUCACGAAUCUAAUAUUUCUACCGCAACUUGAAAGCCAUCGCUCAAGGCAACUUUUUGCAGUUAUACAUACGGGGUAUAGUCAUGUUCGACCUACCCAUUCAUCUGUUGACGCUUGGAAGUCACGCUUCCAUUGAGUAGUGCUGUGGUAUUGCUGCAAAAAGCUGCAGUGUGUGCCAGCUCUAAUAAUGAAAAGGAUCGUUAGUACUGAUGACGUCACAAGUAGGAUAGUCGUCACGUGUGGGCGCGAGCGCAUCGCAAACAUUACGCUUCGAUAAUUUAAUAUUAACAGUACGAAUCGCGACUUGGUAAGGAACAUGAUCAUUGUAUUUAUAAUGUAUCGAUAUACAUAUAAUAUGGACAUUUGUGUAUUUUUUUGAUGUACUAAAGCCAAGUUUGAUUUUUCUUAGAAAAGAAUUCGAAACAUUAAAAAAGGAAUAAUAAAGAUAAAUUAUUUCUUAGAAAA